GUUCCUUGAGGACCUUGAGGACCUUGAGCUUAUCUCUGUUAACAUCUUCUCCCUAACUUCGUAUUCCGCAACACAAGCACAUGGAAGAUAAACUAACGUCAGCUCCAACUCUGUCAGUUCUACCUCCUUAGAGUCUAAUCAGCUUCUUCCGGAUAGUUCUACCUUUAAAGGACAAAUGAGAGGUGAGGAAGCAGAGACCCAGGGAGGUCGCGGCCCAAGUCGUACAACCACUUGGGACAGAGGCAGAGCCGCCACCAUGGGCCGCCUCUUCACCUCGAGCUCAGUUCCAGAGCGCAGAAUUCGGACAUGUCUCACUGGACUAAAAUCCCAGUGACAUGAGGAUGCUCCUAAAACAUCUCCCAUCACACAGCUGAAUUUGCCCUCGCUCAGGUAGGCCGUUGACCCAGCGUUUUCUCAUGUCGUUCACCCUCCUGGCUUACCCAGUCCUCUUUCCCCAAAACUCACUAAACUGUUACCCUGUCUUUGCGGAUUUCCCCAAAUCUCCACCAAACCCUGCACAGCCAACUGCUUGUCUGUAUAGUUCCUUUGUACUGUGGCUGUUGGGUUAUGUGUUUCUUUCUAAGUUUGUCAGAGAGUGCAAUGCUCAUCCAUUCUCUAUCCAUCCUACACAUUGUUGACCACCCACUAUUUGCUUAAAU